AUCAAAGGUUUUAGCAGAGGCCGCAGUAGAGGAGCAAAGAAAAGAAGAAACCUUUGGAAGAAGGAGGUCAACCAUGUCGUCGGCGCCAGCGAAUCCUCGUCCUCAGCCACCACAACAGAAAAGGGACAUCCUCUACGACUGCGGAGGUUGUGGGGAGGAAGUCCCGUUGAGGCCUGGGGAUAAGAUUGAGUGCCCCCAUUGCAAUUACCCAGUUCUAUUCAAGAAGCGUACCCGUCGCAUUGUGGAGUUUCAGGCACGUUGAAGGAGAGAUGUUUCAUGAUGUAUGAGCAUGGAAUUGGAUACAAGUUUGGAUUGCAUGUAUAGAAAACAAUCGUAGCAGCUGCUUCUUGGCUUUAAAUUAAAUGUUUUCAGACUGUUCAAUGUCUCUUUUCCUGGCUGUUCUAAAAAUGGUUGUGAAACUAUGCUCGUUUACUUGAAACAUUGCUUCUGAAAAUGUUUUGAGAUUUCUUAUGAGUUAUUUAUUUAUUGGAGUCAAAUCUCCACAUGAGAGUAUACUCACACA